CCCGUGUGUUCCUAAAGUAAGGUUAGUUGACUACAACCUGUCAUUGCAAAUAUAUCUCAAAAUGCUGACAGUGUACAUGCUGUUUGGACUUUUAGCCAUGUCCAGUGCGAUGCCCGUUGAGCGCGGUGCGUGCGUGAUCAUGUGUCAUCCGGGAUUCGGGCUGUUUGCGGACCUUAACCUGCCAGAGUGCCCGACCGACCACCACUGCCGAUCGACCGGAUGUGGAACCCUCUGUGUCCAUGACUCAAUGAUCACAACCACACCAGCGACGCCACUCUGAUGGAUGAAAUGUUCUGUGAUAUACGUGAUCUGUGCAAAAGCGUGAUGAGUACAUCGUGAAACGUUUUCGUGAUGUAAUUAAAUGUUUGCGUGUA